UAAUAAAUCAUAACAUAUUCAAAAACUUUUGUUUCUUCAUUUAGGACAAAAGUUUUGUUACAUUUGUUGAAUAAUCAUGGAGAAUAAUAGCUCUCUCAAGCUUGUUUUCUUGGUUGUUCUUUUAAUGGCAGCCUCAGGUAAGGACAACUUAUCAUUUUAUGCACACACAAUACAUGCAUUUCGAAUUCUUCUUCGGAUGAACAACAGAAUUUGUAUGUCCCUAAAAUUUGGUUUGGCUAGCGGAAUGUUAAAUGAGAUUUUAAACAUUUUUUCGUUUAGACGGAAAAAUCAUAUUCUUACAAAGUGAUUUUAGAUAACCAACUUUCUCAGAGUUUUUCUUUUUGUAUUUUCCUAUUAGUUGCGUAGAGAAGAAAAUCUCCCCUUCUUAGGGAUAUUAUUUGGUUUAUAUAUGGUUUGAUGGAAUUUUUUUAUAGACAUAAUUUAAUUAGAAAUAUCCUAGAUGGUUAGCUUGAAAGCUAAAUAACAGUUGGUGGUUAUUCCCCGUUUUGUACCGUAAAACGCGGACGAUUAGUUCCCUAACACGGUGUAAAAAGAGGAAUGAUUACAUGCCGUUAUUUACAUUUCAAGCGAGCCUUUUAAGUUAUUUCCAAUUAAAUCAUCAUAGAAAGACAUUUCAAAUUAUCUUAUAUGUUAAAUAAGAUCGAUGGUUGAGAUUAUAUUUUCGAAACCCUACCUCUAUCGAAACAUCGGGAUAAAACAUUAAGAGUAUGUUUUUUGUGUAAAGAAACCCAUAAAGGAGUUUUUAUUUCUUAAAAACCCCUCUACAAAUAGAUGUAUGCCGCUUCUUUUAAGCAUUACCUCAAUAGUUCACUAUGUACUCGCUGAAAGACUGUGUAUGUAAUGUUGCGGUAUAGGGUUGUAGUUGUGACGUCAGCCUAACGGGUCGAGCACAUCACUUCUUAAAUUGAUCGACUAUCGAGUUUUUAAUGUGUGUAAAUGUAAUACAAAUAUUUGUGUAGGCAUACCAUCCACAACCACGAUAAUGGUGGCAGAUGCUCUGACUAUGCCCAAGACAUGUAACACUGUUGCAGAUUGCCGUAAGAAGUGCUUCAUUAGGAAGAAGAAAUGUGAGAAUGGUAUGUGUGUCUGUUCAUUUUAACUCCAGGGAGAGGAAUUAAUUAAACAAAUGGAAAAUAAUUUUUUUAUGUUCAUUUUUUCAAUUUUAUUUUCUUUCUAAAUACCCAACAAUUGUAAUUUGUACAAUCCUUAUGUAUACAAAACCAAUGUAAUAUAAACACUUGAAUUCUACAUAUAAAAAAUGUAAAAAAAUGAGAAAAACGUUCUCUAUACUCGAAUCCACUCUAUUAAGG
rnacentral:lncRNA from 1 species